rnacentral:tRNA from 1 species
UUUCACUCCCUAACUA